ensembl:lncRNA
CCCCGAGUCACACAGGUGCUGGCUUUGCCCCUUCCAGGUGCAAACUUCAGUUCCGGGGGCGGGGGGGAAAGCAGUGAGAGGCACCAUCGGACCACAGGCUGGGUAACGCCGCGUCUUCCUGCGGCUUUUGUUCAAAAGCAGCAGAGCAGUUGGUUUCACAUUUUAGUGGCUUCUUAUGUCUAGGGGCCUAGUCUGCACAGGAUAAAUUCCUGCCGCCUGGGUCUCUGCGCCUGAUGUGUGCCUACAUGAGUCACUCCUGUCAGAAUGACCUCGGAGCAUGAUUCAGAGGGAACUCGGAGUCCAGGAGAGCUCUUGGAAUGAGAGAUGAAUCUGUCUCCUUCGGUGUGAUGCCUGCCACGAGACAGUGGCCCUCUUCGUCUGCAUUUUUCCCCCUCCAGAGGUUGCCUAGGAGGUUUGUGUAAUUGCCUUGUGCUC